AUUGAACGCUGGCGGCAUGCCUUACACAUGCGAGUCGAGCGAAUGGAUUAAGAGCUUGCUCUUAUGAAGUUAGCGGCGGACGGGUGAGUAACACGUGGGUAACCUGCCCAUAAGACUGGGAUAACUCCGGGAAACCGGGGCUAAUACCGGAUAACAUUUUGAACCGCAUGGUUCGAAAUUGAAAGGCGGCUUCGGCUGUCACUUAUGGAUGGACCCGCGUCGCAUUAGCUAGUUGGUGAGGUAACGGCUCACCAAGGCAACGAUGCGGAGCCGACCUGGGAGGCGGAUCGGCACAACUGGGACUGAGCCACGGCCCAGACUCCUACGGGAGGCAGCAGUAGGGAAUCUUCCGCAAUGGACGAAAGUCUGACGGAGCAACGCCGCGUGAGUGAUGAAGGCUUUCGGGUCGUAAACCUCUGUUGUUAGGGAAGAACAAGUGCUAGUUGAAUAAGCUGGCACCUUGACGGUACCUAACCAGAAAGCCACGGCUAACUACGUGCCAGCCGCCGCAGUAA
rnacentral:rRNA from 1 species